rnacentral:rRNA from 1 species
UAGGGAAUCUUCGGCAAUGGACGAAAGUCUGACCGAGCAACGCCGCGUGAGUGAAGAAGGUUUUCGGAUCGUAAAACUCUGUUGUUAGAGAAGAACAAGGACGUUAGUAACUGAACGUCCCCUGACGGUAUCUAACCAGAAAGCCACGGCUAACUACGUGCCAGCAGCCGCGGUAAUACGUAGGUGGUAAGCGUUGUCCGGAUUUAUUGGGCGUAAAGCGAGCGCAGGCGGUUUCUUAAGUCUGAUGUGAAAGCCCCCGGCUCAACCGGGGAGGGUCAUUGGAAACUGGGAGACUUGAGUGCAGAAGAGGAGAGUGGAAUUCCAUGUGUAGCGGUGAAAUGCGUAGAUAUAUGGAGGAACACCAGUGGCGAAGGCGGCUCUCUGGUCUGUAACUGACGCUGAGGCUCGAAAGCGUGGGGAGCAAACAGG